rnacentral:rRNA from 1 species
CCCUUGUACACACCGCCCGUCACACCACGGGAGUGAGCAACACCCGAAGCCGGUGGGCUAACCCGCAAGGGAGGCAGCCGUCUAAGGUGGGGCUCGUGACUGGGGUG